UCACUCCUUACCAGUUUUCAAGUGGUUAGUGUAGUUUUAGUUCUCUUUAUCUACUUAUCAUGCUUUUAGAGCAGAACAUUUAAAGUUAUUAGUCUAAAACACUGUGUGAAUCGUUCGGGGGGCUGAUGAGUUGGGCUCAUUGUUUUGUGGAUCUGUUCUGAGUGAUGCAGGCUUUGGAUGGUUUCACUGAUGUUUCUUAUUUGGGGCAGUGUAGGUUCCAGUUUAAACUAGCACAGUAUGUAUUUUCAGACAACAGAGUACUGUCACACGGUCGUGGUUCCCUGAAAGCAAAGUGAGAUGGACUUACAUUUGUUUAGGAUUGUGCCUACGGCUAGAACCGUUCCCUUUCUCUUGCAUCAGCCAUAUUUGGUUCAUGGAAAAACAAACUCUUCUAGUGUUUUCUUUUACCCCUUGCUGUUUGAAGCAUGCAAAGGUGAUUUUCAAGGUUCACUCUUUGGCGUUACACAACCUUCAGGAUUAUUUUUAAGCUGUGUUGUGCACAAAUACCGCAGCGAUGAUCAUCAGACUCGGCAGACUGACACCUGGAUACUUCCGUCUCCUGCAGAGGCAGGUAGCAGGUGAGGUUCAGGCCCCAACUCACGACCGCUUGGUCAACCAGAUCGCCAUGAUGCUGGCCAUCAUGGGCCUCAGCCUGUCCUACUACAGUGCCAAACAGAUGAUGGAGAAGGUUCACCACGAACCCGCCCCGUGAAGAUGUGCUUGGAUUGACAUCAUCCAGAGGAGACCAAGCCGAACUGAAGAUGUUCAGACUCUGUCACAGUACCUUUCUCUAACCUCCAGGGACCACACACCGCAGGACAUCUGCUUAGGGGUUGCUUUAGUCUAGCUCUCAAUGGGAUCUGGAAGGGUUGACUUGAUGCAUGCAUCAGAGAGUCAGUCAAUAGGUUGCUUUAGGCAGAAAACUCAAGCUCCACCAAUGCAUGCGCAAACCAGGAGCUCAACUCUGAGCCAUAAUGUGUUUUAAGGACCUCUGUAUAUGAGAUGUACCAAGCUACUAUUGAAAGCAGGUCCAAUGCACAAAUCCAUUUUUCCCAAAAGAAGAUGCUGUUGAAGAACAUCCAAAGCCUUGAGGGACUUCUAGUGAAGGUGCUGCUUUACACUAUACACUUUAGGAAAUUUACUACACAAACAAAACUUGAUAUUUUGAUUCUAACUUAAGUAAAUAUCUUCUCGUUUGUCCUGAUGAAUUUCUCAACUCUUUUAUAUGUUAAUGCCGACCUUGUGUGCAAUUGCAUGAGUUUGAAGCAGUUUUAGUGCAACCAAUCCGUAAUGUUGUUUCUAAGGCUUUUUUAUAAUAAUGUGAUUUGAUGCUGUAUGUACUGUAUGUUGUAUUUUUAAGACACCAUGAUCAAAUAAAGCUGUGAAUAUUUUGAACAAGA